GGCCGGGGCAGGGUAAACAGCGGAGCUCUGGGCGCGCUCCCUCUCGCCCGAGACAAGAACCUUCUUACGACGCGAGGUUUUGCCUCCACUGGAUCACAGUGAGUAUAUAAGAUUAAUUUCAUCAGAUCAAAACCAUGUCCGAUGAAGAUAUUGUCACCACUUUAGCCUACAGCAAGAGCCCAAAGUUCUCCAAAAGAACCACUUUUCAGGAAGAACUACAAGAAGCACUUUUUGCUCGUGCAGCAAGGAAGAACAGUACUGGAUAUUUGGAUGACUUUGAGAGUGAUGAAGAGGGUACGAUAGAGGAGCUUCCAGAAAAUGUAGAAAGCACCCCAAAGAAAUCUGUAGCCUUUGCCAUUCCUCUGUCCAGCUACAGUCUUGGCAAUGUGGGCAUUUUGCAGAGUCAAAGCGCAGAAGACUUGGUGGCUUCAUCAUACAGCUAUGGGAGACCUCAGCAAGUGUCCAUGUUGGAGAGUGAGACUUCAGGUGAAAAGAGGCAGGCUGUCCUUUCUUCACUAACUGAAAAUUCUGGGUCAUAUGAAGGGAGUGCAACAAAAACAUCCGUUUCUUUUGAAAUAUCUCCACCAGAUGACUAUUCUUGGAAAAGGGAAACUGUUGAUUACUUGGCUUUGUCUGAGGAUGAAGAGAGAACUCAAGCAACAUGCAUGCUGGAAAAUAAAAGUCUGAAUGAAAGGAGACAAGGAGAUGACUCAGAACUUUCAAUUUCUGAAGAAGAAUUAGAUGUUGGGGCGGAUUGGGUUCAACAGAACAAGGAACCUAUGACUGAGCUGCCAAUGGAGAGGAGUGACAUGGUGCCACGCAAGCCUGAGAUCAAGCCAGUGCCAAAGCCCAGGGAAUUCAAGACUAAGACAGCAUCAGCUUCAGCUGAGAAUAUCAGCAUUCCUGCACUAGAUGAUUAUUCAAAGCCAUCUCCUCAACCGAGAAGUGUUUUAAGGAAAAGCACCCACCUGGAGGACUACGAAGGUUCCAAGGCAGAGGACAGAACUUCUUACAGCCACAGAUUGUUUUCAUCGUCCCUCACAAGGUUGAGUGAUCAAGUGAUGAAAUCUGAGCAAAGAGCACUUUCUGAAAGUCCUGCUCCUGAGGGUCCCUGGAUAGCAAGCUCCUCAUUGCUAUUCCCUAUUCAUUUUUCAUCAGUGGUUGAGAGAACUGGAGAUUCCAAACUGAUAGUAUCAGAGGAAGAAUCUUCAAAAGACCAGGAACAAAAAGAAACUGACAACUGCAGUGAUGUGAAAUUGCAGGACAGUGGCAGAGAAUCUCCCUCUGUGAUAGAACUAAUGAUGACAACAGUUUAUGAGAAAACUAAGAAACUGAACGAGUCAACUGAAGGUUACCUUGAAGGAAAGCUUCAGACAUCAGGAUAUGAUGCUACUGAAGAUGGCUCAGAUGAGACAACUAAGGAAGAUAAGUCUGAACAUAAGAUAGCACUAAGUACUUCAAAGGUUGCACUGAAUGUGUCAAAGGAUUCAGUAAAGGAAGAAGUUGAAGAAAAAGAGACAGCUCCACAAAAAACAAAGCCUCCAGCAGGCAGAUCUUUGAGCUCUACAUACUUGAAGAAAACGGGGAAGUCCAUUCCUAUCCCAUUAAGUACAUCUUCUCAAUACUUAGGAACAUUAAAGGUCUUGGACAACAAGCAUUUACAGAAAUUUAGCGCUGAACUUGACAAAGCAGAUAGUUUACGGGCAGCUGUUUAUCAGGACUGGUUGGAAAAGAAAAGAAUCUUCCUGCUGGAACUACAAAGGAUAAAAAGAAAUAAAGCAAAGAACUUGCAAGAUAAAAGUGAAAAGAAGGAAGCUGCUAAGAAAGAAGAAGCAACUGCAUCCUUUGAAGCUUGGAAAGCUAUGAAAGAAAAGGAAGCAAAGAAAUUAGCUGAAAAAAAGAGGCUUGAAGAAGAAAAGAAAAAGAAGGAAGCAGAACUAAAUGAGAAGAAAAAAGAAGAAGCACAAAAGGCAGCUUUUGAGAAAUGGAAAGAAAAGAAAACUGAAUAUUUAAAACAGCAAAUAAGAAGGGAGAAAAGAGUUGAAAGACUGAAAAAAAAGAAAGAAGAGGAGGUUGUUGCAGAGAAGAAGAAAGAUAGCCGGUCUGCUGUUGAAAAAUGGAAUGAGAAAAAAGAAGAAUUCAUGAAGCAAAAGAAAAAAGAAAAAAUCCAAGAAAGAAAAAAGGAAAUAGAGGAGCAAGUUGAGAAGGAAGAAAAAGAUAAAAAAGCUAUAGAAGAAUAUGAAAAAUGGCUGGAAAAGAAAGAACUGAAGGACAGAAUCCAGAAAAAGCAAAAGAAGCUCCAGGUUAUCCUUGAAGAUGAAACGCUCCCUCCCUGGAGUCCACCUGGCAAAGCUGUGUCUUCAAGGAGCUAUUGAGAAUGCCCAUUGUUGUGAGGAAAGUUCCAGAAUUCUGCACAACAUCUGAUUUUAAUGAGAAUUGAAAAUGGCUCUUGCAUCCUUUCUUUAAAGUGAUGAUUUGGCUCUCUGACGUAACACCAUAUGUCUAAAUAAGUGGUACUCAGUGUAUAGCCCCCAGUAUGCAAGAAUGCAGUUUACACAAAGAAUUCCACUGUCCUAUAUAGGACUGAGCACUGGGAAACCAGUUGCAGGUUCUGCAGCAGAGCUGCCUUGCACGGUGCUGAUUGUCCCGCUGCCGACCCUGCACAACACUCAUUCCCCCGAAACAGCGUUUAGGAUAUUUUGCAAAUGGAUUCUGCUUGAAAAAAAAACUGUGCCAAAGGAAAUGUUAAAUGCAUGAACGUUCAUGUAACACAAUCCAUUUGAAAAACCAUUGUAGACUAAUUUGGGAAGAGGGGAGGGAGGGUUACAGUGUGCAGCGGGCUCUUCAGCAAAACUUGCAGAACCAGUGAUUGCAGGAAAAAGAGCCAGCAGGGACUGCUGUUAACAACAAAUGAAUGUGUGUUUUAAAAAUGAAACACUGCAAUGCUUGGAGCCGCAGCUCACCCACCUACAGUAAUCAAAUCAAGUCAAGUUUAUUAUUACGAUCCAGGAGCUACAAUAAUCUAAAUUAACCUUUUUUGUUGUGUCUGUUGUGAGAAUUAUCACUCCUGUUUAGAAAGCCUUGCUCAUUAUAGAACCAGUAAUGUAACUGUUUUAUUGGAAGUUGGGAUAUUGGAUGUCCAGCAUAAGUUUGAUGCUGUCCAUGCACCCCAAACUUCAGCAUUGCCUGUAGGCAUGACUUUCUUCAUUUCUGGCCAAGCCCCUUGGCACUUGCCCUCUCUUUAUAGUGUGGAGACACAAGGAGCGCCUGGCUGUGACUGCAGUUUGCUGCCUACCCAGCAGCUCAGGCAGUUCCUGGGCUGUUUGGACUGGCAGAAGUAGCAGCUUUUUCUGAAUCUGUUUGCCAGUCAGAUCUGUGGAGAUAAAAAGAAAGCAGAUGGGGAUGGCAAAGGGAAGGAAGGACAGCCGUCUUCAUCCCUCAUCCUUGACCCCUCUUUAUUACAAGUCUCCACUUGUUAUUUUAAAUGAGUGUCUGUUGCAGGGGACAGUCCUGAUUAUUAUUUUGCAGGUGCUGGCAGAAAGAAAGUGUAUUUGCCAUACGAAGGAGAAAUGACUCCGUAAAAAUAAAUGGGCAAUUAAUUAAAACUUAUUUUGGAAUCUUUCCCAGCUUUUAGCAAAAGCAUACACUUCAGAAGCUUACUUUGUUACACUAAACUUAGCAAUAUGUAUAAAUUUAUUGGAGAUUUUGGCAGACGUUGGUAUGUUGUUUUUCUGAAACUGUAAAGAAUUAAAUUCUCUUUUGACUCAAGAAACUAUUUCAGGCACAAUGUGCAAAAUUCUUUUGAGGUUGUCUUGGCAGAAUCAGAAUAGAAACUAGUAUACUUUCCAUUGCAACUCUUUUUACAAUAGCAAACUAUUAGCAUUCCUUCUGCCUUCUUUUGGCUGGAGGGGGGAGCUUUUAAAACAAUUGAGAGAUAAACAAGCAGUACUGUCUUGUCUCCCUACUUUCCAAAUACUUCCUGUUACUAAUACAGACUUUUCUGUUUCACUCUAAAACAAUGAAUGCGGGUCUUUCUUGCAGGGAAGAUGCACCGUAAACAUAACACAAUUAGAUGUACUGUCUUUUUCCUUGUUUUAAACUUUUCUAGCACAUUAUGGCUGAAAUACUUUGAAUGUACCAAGUUCCAAGACAGCCCAAACUCUCAAGCAUAAAAAAAGUUAUUUAACUGAAAUGGGCCUACAAAUUUAGCACAUAAAAAGCAUUUUGGGGCAGGAACAUGCUGGCAAUGGAUAGAUUGUCCUAUAUGACAAAUCAUAAGUAUGUUCUGUCAUCACAAGCGUGUGAUCUGCUUGUUUUUUCCUACACCAAAGUAGUUACCAUUGCUACCUGAUAAUUUUUUUCUAAAUAUAUGUUACAAUUUAUGCCAGGUUGCUAAUAAGCAAUCAUAAUUAUUGCUAGAAAAAAUUCUUUUUCAUUCUAUAUUUAGUGACUGGGACCCCGCCCUAAGAGUUUGCCAUUUAAUCAAGUAAAACAGACCAAAAUGGAGGGAAAAUGAGAGAAGUUAACUUAAUUUUGAUAAAGCUUGUUUAUAGGUUAAGAAUAGUGCACACACUGAUUAAUUGAUACAAGAAAGAUGUGGCAAUGUAAGGCUUAUGUCGGCUCAGGUAAGUUUCUUUUUUCUUCCUUACUGAAUCUGUAUAUUGUAUAUUAUACAAAAUGAGAUGUUUAAGAAUAGUCUAGGACAAAUGUUCAAAAAUACAAAGUCCCCCCAUCUUGUACAUGGUUCAGAUGUAAUUCAAAAUGAGGGCUUCUUCCAUUACUGAGCAAUCCUUGUGUUGCCAUGCCCCCCCUUAAACCCCUCCCCCCUCCCGUCAUGCACUCCGAGUCCAUUAGUAUCCUCAGCUUUAGUGUAACCACCAUUGCAGCCAAACUGGCAAACUAUUUAGUGUUUCUUCUCUAAACUAGGACAGCAACCUGGUUUGCAAUUUUAGUUUGGAUAGGUAGCAUAUAAUACUGUUUUGUGUUUUAUUAAAAUGCAUUUUUGGAGUUCCUUUUAUUCUGAAAUUCUUGCAUAUGAUUGCAUAUGAAAGAAUUUGCAUAUAUGAGAUAGCACUGUAUUUCUAUGGUAUGUACAUUCUUGUUACAUGCAAGCAAAAAACUGAUGGUAGUGUGUAAAACUGAACAGCCUGAGUUUAA